UACGGAGGAUGCGAGCGUUAUCCGGAUUUAUUGGGUUUAAAGGGUGCGUAGGCGGGCUGUUAAGUCAGCGGUAAAAGCCCGGGGCUCAACCCCGGCGAGCCGUUGAAACUGGCUGUCUUGAGAUGUCGAGAGGUAUGCGGAAUGCGCAGUGUAGCGGUGAAAUGCUUAGAUAUUGCGCAGAACUCCGAUUGCGAAGGCAGCAUACCGGCGGCGACCUGACGCUGAGGCACGAAAGCGUGGGUAUCGAACAGG
rnacentral:rRNA from 1 species